UCAAAAUCAUUUCUAAAAUAUGUAACUUUAUCUUAAAAAAUCUUAAGAUUGUAUGCCUUUUUUACUUGUCCUGUAUAUGCCUGUAACAAAAUUUGCUAGAAUGAGGAAAGAGAAUCUGCAAGAAAACAAAAUAAAACAAAAACUGCAUAGUUAUGAGGGGAAUAGUUACUUCCCAUAAUGGCUAGCCUUGGAAACUUCUGUUCCUUUACAUACAUGUCUGACCCUAUAGUUUCAGUAAGAUAAUCAAACUGUGUGACAUUAACAUAUUCCCAACAUCUAGGUUAUUGAGUCUUCACAUCAAUAUUCACUUUUAAUUGGGCUAUACCCAAUUCCUUUUAAGACUCUCCUCACUAAGGGUUCCAAAUGAAAAUUAAACAACUAUCCCAAAGAAAGGGGGAAAUUUAAUGGUCCAUGUGAGCAAACUGCAUUAAGGACAGGAAUCCCUUGGAUCUGUGGACAGUUGACACAAUUAAAUGCUGCUCACUUUGUUUCAUCAACUCCCAUUUCUGCCUCUACUUGCUAUUUUCUCUCAUGUAGACCCAGCUUUCCCCUCAAACCUCUAACCAUGACUUCUAGCAGGUCAUAUUUUCUUAGUUGGUCACUUGUGAGCAGCUGCUCCUCUUUCCUUAAUAAUACUCCCAGACAAUCUGAGGGAAGGGAGACUUUUGUUUCUGGCUAUGACUGAGUAAUUUGACUAGCUCUCCUGAAUUAGUAGCAACUAUGAAACUGGACAGUAUAUAUGAAGCGACUGUUUUGGGGUAGCACAAAACUAAAACUUUAGAAAAUAAGGGAAAUUAAGCAAUUGACCCCCACAAUCACCCAGCUUCUUGUGGUGUAAAGAGGCUGAGCUGAGAAGACAGAGAUCAUGGUGGAGAGCAGCUGAAGCAGUUAGAAUCAAUGGUGUGGGCAUCAAGAGGGAGCUAAAUGGUUGGAAUCAAUGGGGUGAGCAUCAAGAGGAAACUAUACAGAGAGGUAACCUGAGAAAUCCUUGGGGAUGCCCACAAAUCCAUGGCUGAGGGCUGAGCUGUACAUAAUUAGAGCAAGACCACCUAAUGCUUACCAGAUAGCAGUUGCCACAGAGUUGAGAAUGGAAUGUAGAUACUAGAGGUCAAGAAGUGUUGGCCUAAAAGCAGUAGUCAGGGGUGCCAAGUUUCCGGGCCUGCCAAGGUAGAGAUCUCUAACAGUUGUGGCAUCAAGCUGAAACAUUAGAAAGGUUGUACCUUGGGAGUAAAGACCAUGCCAUAGUGUUAGACCUCCAUAGACCUGCCCUAACAAGCUCUGACAAGGUUAUAAGGGGGAUUGACUGACAACGUUAUAUGGAGAUUGAGUCCUGCCUGCCAAGUUAGAACUUAAUGAAAGUCCUUGGGCUUCUCAUAGAUACAAACUAAUAACAAAGUGUAAAACCGAGCCUGUAGUUGUUUAAGUGAUCACUCAGUAACUGAAGAACCUCCUAAAACAAGAAUCAUCACUUUUCAGAAGAUAACAGAAUCCAGAACCUGUAUAACAUAUACACAAUGUCCAAUAUUCAAUAAAAAAUUACUAGACAAA